AGAAACGAGACUCAAAGAAAUCUGAAGCGGAGAUUCGCAAAUCAUUCACAAAACAACCAUUAAAGCAUGAAAGGUCAACAAACAUAAACAACUUACGGGAAGAUGAACAAAGAAACAGGGGAAAUGAAAAGUUUGAACCUCGAAAAAGCGGGCAGAAUCCCGAAUAACACUAUUUGAACGAACAAUUCACGGGAACCUCGAUAUGGCGACGAACUGGUCGGAAAUAGUGGACGCACUUAGAUCAGAACCAACGAGUGACAACCCCAAAAUUCGAACAUGUUCUCGACUUUAUACAGCUUCGAACAUAAUUUGAAAU
rnacentral:lncRNA from 1 species